rnacentral:sRNA from 1 species
CUGCAGCCCGACUUGAGUGGAAAUCCUUUUUUUGCGGCUGGAAAUGCGAUGGCAAAAAGAUUGGGAACGGAAGGCGGAUAAAGC